ACCCGCUGAACUUAAGCAUAUCAGUAAGCGGAGGAAAAGAAAAUAACAAUGAUUACCUUAGUAGCGGCGAGUGAAUAGGUAAAAGCCCAAGAUGUUAAUCUGGUAUAAAGUACUAGAAUUGUAAUCUAUGGAGUAGCUCGGAAGGUGGAGACUCAUCAUAAGUGCCUUGGAAAAGGACGCCAGAGAAGGUGAAAGCCCUGUCUUAGGAUGAGUCGAAGCGAUACGAGAUAUUUCUAAGAGUCGGGUAGUUUGGGAAUGCUGCCCUAAUUGGGAGGUAAACUUCUCCUAAGGCUAAAUAUUUAUUGGAGACCGAUAGCAUACAAGUACUGCGAAGGAAAGAUGAAAAGAACUUUGAAAAGAGGGUUAAAAGACUUGAAAUCGUUGAAAAGGAAGCGAUAGAAGAGAAAUGAUUCCCUGUCAAGUAGUCAAUUGAGCUAAGUUACGCGGUGGAGAAUAUCUAACAGAGUUCUUGCCGUGGAACGAAAAUCAAGUGGCGGUUGGCAGGUGAAAGGCAAGAUGAGGUGGGCUUGCAAGAAUAAGGCGAAGAGUGUAUUCUCGAACCAGAAGUUGCAAGCCUGCCUGAGGGAUCAGAUGAUGAUCUUGCCAAAAUGGCUUUUAUCGACCCGUCUUGAAACACGGACCAAGGAGUCUACCUAUUAUGCGAGUGUUAAGGUGGAGAAACCUAAACGCGUACCGAAAGGGAUGUAAGAUGUGAGGCGCAAGCUGCAACAUCAACCAAUCUUGACUCUAUGAGGAAGGACUUGAGUAAGAGCAUAAUCGGUAGGACCCGAAAGAUGGUGAACUACGGUUGAAUAGGGCGAAGCCAGGGGAAACUCUGGUGGAGGCUCGAAGCGGUACUGACGUGCAAAUCGUUCGUCAAAUUUGACUGUAGGGGCGAAAGACUAAUCGAACCAUCUAGUAGCUGGUUCCCUCUGAAAUUUCUCUCAGGAUAGCAGGAACAGAUCAUGCAGUUUUAUCAGGUAAAGCUAAUGAUUAGUGGACUCGGGGGCCCCGUGCCCUUGACCAAUUCUCAAACUUUAAAUUGGUAAGAACUUCAAGUUAUCUUAAUUGAACUUGGAGAAGGAAUGCGUUGUUCUUAGUGGGCCAUUUUUGGUAAGCAGAACUGGCGAUGAGGGAUGAACCUAACGUCGAGCUAAGGUGCCCAAAUUCACGCUCAUCAGACACCAUAAAAGGUGUUGGUUAGUAUAAACAGCCGGACUGUGGCCAUGGAAGUCGGCACCAGCUAAGGAGUGUGUAACAACUCACCAGCCGAAUUAACCAGCCCUGAAAAUUGAUGGCGCUAAGCGUGAUACCGAUACUCGACCAACAGGGCAAAUAGAAGCCUUGUUGAGUAAGAGGGCGUGAACAUUGUGUAGAAGGCUUGGACGUGAGUCUGGCUGGAACAAUGUUUAGUGCAGAUCUUGGUGGUAGUAGCAAAUAUUCAAAUGAGAACUUUGAAGACCGAAGUGGAGAAGGGUUCCAUGAGAACAGCAUUUGAUCAUGGGUUACUCGAUCCUAAGACAUAGGGAAAUUCCUUGUAAUAUAUGGGUUCUUACGAAUCCAUUGUCAAAAGGGAAUGAGGUUGAUAUUCCUCAAGCUGAAUGCGGAGGUUUCGUGGCAACACAAACAAGCUUGGAGACAUCGGCGUGUGCAACUGGAAGAGUUAUCUUUUCUUCUUAACAAUCUAUCUCCCUGAAUGGAUUAUCCAAAGCUAGGGAUGUAUGGUUGGCAGAGCAGUUCACCAUCGAACUGUCAGUGAUGCUCAUGACGAUCCUUGAAAAUCCAAGUACGGUGAUCCUCUCGCAUCAGGUCGUACCC
rnacentral:rRNA from 1 species